rnacentral:rRNA from 1 species
AAGCGGUGGAGCAUGUGGUUUAAUUCGAUGCAACGCGAAGAACCUUACCUACUCUUGACAUCCAGAGAACUUUCCAGAGAUGGAUUGGUGCCUUCGGGAACUCUGAGACAGGUGCUGCAUGGCUGUCGUCAGCUCGUGUUGUGAAAUGUUGGGUUAAGUCCCGCAACGAGCGCAACCCUUAUCCUUUGUUGCCAGCGGUUCGGCCGGGAACUCAAAGGAGACUGCCAGUGAUAAACUGGAGGAAGGUGGGGAUGACGUCAAGUCAUCAUGGCCCUUACGAGUAGGGCUACACACGUGCUACAAUGGCGCAUACAAAGAGAAGCGACCUCGCGAGAGCAAGCGGACCUCAUAAAGUGCGUCGUAGUCCGGAUUGGAGUCUGCAACUCGACUCCAUGAAGUCGGAAUCGCUAGUAAUCGUAGAUCAGAAUGCUACGGUGAAUACGUUCCCGGGCCUUGUACACACCGCCCGUCACAC